rnacentral:lncRNA from 1 species
UCUUGUCUAGGAUAAUCCCUUCAUCUCCUCAUUUCUUUCUUUAAUUUCAAAAUCUCUCCCUCAUUUCAAAACCUUCUUUGUUUGUGUUUUCAAUUUAGACUUGUUUUAAUGAGUAAAAACUUUGGCCUUAUGCCAUUGAUUUUCAAACAUUUUCUUAAUCAAACUUAUAAAUAAACUUAAUCAUAUUGACCUUAUUAAAAAAAG